rnacentral:misc_RNA from 1 species
AACGCACCUUGCGCCCUUUGGUAUUCCGAAGGGCAUGCCUGUUUGAGUGUCAUUAAAUUCUCAACUUCAAAAUGCUUUGUUGCAUUUUUUGAAGCUUGGACUUUGGAGGAAUUUUGCCGGCAUCACUGUCAGCUCCUCUUAAAUGCAUUAGCGGAACUUUAUUAAGGACCAGCUUUGGUUUGAUAAUCCUAUCUAUGCCGUCGCUGUGGACUUUGCCUGUUCGGCUUCUAAUGGUCUUCGGACUGUCUCUCUAAUGAGGCAUACACUUUUAAGCUUGACCUCAAAUCAGGUAGGACUACCCGCUGAACUUAA